AUCAACUUUCGAUGGUAGGAUAGAGGCCUACCAGGGUGGUAACGGGUAACGGGGUGUUAGGGCACGACACCGGAGAGGGAGCCUGAGAAACGGCUACCACAUCCAAGGAAGGCAGCAGGCGCGCAAAUUACCCAAUCCCGACACGGGGAGGUAGUGACAAUAAAUAACAAUACGGGGCUCUUUCGGGUCUCGUAAUUGGAAUGAGUACAAUUUAAAUCCCUUAACGAGGAACAAUUGGAGGGCAAGUCUGGUGCCAGCAGCCGCGGUAAUUCCAGCUCCAAUAGCGUAUAUUAAAGUUGUUGCAGUUAAAAAGCUCGUAGUUGAAUUUCGGGAUUGGCGCAUCGGUCGUGCCUUACGGGGUAUGAACUGGUGCAGUCAAUUUCUCACCUUCUGGAGAACCGCGAUGUCCUUAAUUGGGUGCCGCGGGGAACCAGGACCUUUACUUUGAAAAAAUUAGAGUGUUUAAAGCAGGCAUUUUUGCUUGAAUACAUUAGCAUGGAAUAAUAAAAUAGGACGGCAUGGUUCUAUUUUGUUGGUUUCUAGGACCAUCGUAAUGAUUAAUAGGGAUAGUUGGGGGCAUUAGUAUUCAAUUGUCAGAGGUGAAAUUCUUGGAUUUAUUGAAGACUAACUACUGCGAAAGCAUUUGCCAAGGAUGUUUUCAUUAAUCAAGAACGAAAGUUAGGGGAUCGAAGACGAUCAGAUACCGUCGUAGUCUUAACCAUAAACUAUGCCGACUAGGAAUCAGACGAUGUUAAUUUUUUAAUGACUCGUUUGGCACCUUACGGGAAACCAAAGUGUUUGGGUUC
rnacentral:rRNA from 1 species